rnacentral:rRNA from 1 species
CGGUAAUACAGAGGUGGCGAGCGUUGUUCGGAAUUACUGGGCUUAAAGGGCGAGUAGGCGGUGGAGCAAGUCUGAGGUGGAAUCCUACGGCUUAACCGUAGAACUGCCUUGAGAACUGCUUUACUUGAGUCAGUGAGGGGAGGGCGGAAUUCCUGGUGUAGCGGUGGAAUCGGUAGAUAUCAGGAGGAAGGCCUGUGGCGAAAGUGGCCCUCUGGCACUGUACUGACGCUGAGGCGCGAAGGGGUGGGGAGCAAACAGGAUUAGAUACCCUGGUAGUCCACGCCCUAAACGGUGGGCAUUAGGUGUAGGGCUCGUAAGGGUUCUGUGCCGAAGGGAAACCAUUAAAUGCCCCGCCUGGGGAGUACGGCCGCAAGGUUGAA